rnacentral:rRNA from 1 species
UGGGGAAUAUUGGACAAUGGGGGCAACCCUGAUCCAGCCAUGCCGCGUGGGUGGAGAAGGCCUUAGGGUUGUAAAACCCUUUCAGCGGGGAAGAUGAUGACGGUACCCGCAGAAGAAGCCCCGGCUAACUCCGUGCCAGCAGCCGCGGUAAUACGGAGGGGGCUAGCGUUGUUCGGAAUUACUGGGCGUAAAGCGCGCGUAGGCGGUUUGGUAAGUCGGAUGUGAAAGCCCCGGGCUUAACCUGGGAAUUGCAUUCGAUACUGCCUGACUAGAGUAUGGUAGAGGGAAGUGGAAUUUCCGGUGUAGCGGUGAAAUGCGUAGAUAUCGGAAGGAACACCAGUGGCGAAGGCGACUUCCUGGGCCAAUACUGACGCUGAGGUGCGAAAGCGUGGGGAGCAAACAGGAUUAGAUACCCCCGUAGUCC